AUGGGACACUGGGAUGGGAUACUGGGAUGGGAUACUGGGAUGGGAUACUGGGAUGGGAUACUGGGAUGGGAUACUGGGAUGGGAUGGGACACUGGGAUGGGACACUGGGAUGGGACACUGGGAUGGGACACUGGGACACUGGGAUGGGACACUGGGAUACUGGGAUGGGACAGGGAUGGGACACUGGGAUGGGACACUGGGACACUGGGAUGGGACACUGGGACACUGGGAUGGGACACUGGGAUGGGAUACUGGGAUGGGAUGGGACACUGGGAUGGGAUACUGGGAUGGGAUGGGACACUGGGAUGGGAUACCGGGAUACUGGGAUGGGACACUGGGAUGGGACACUGGGAUGGGACACUGGGAAGGGAUACUGGGAUGGGAUGGGACACUGGGAUGGGACACAGGGAUGGGACACAGGGAUGGGACACUGGGAUGAGACACUGGGACGGGACACAGGGAUGGGAUACUGGGACACUGGGAUGGGACACUGGGACACUGGGAUGGGACACUGGGAUGGGACACUGGGAUGGGACACUGGGAUACUGGGAUGGGACAGGGAUGGGACACUGGGA
rnacentral:lncRNA from 1 species